GAUACUGGAAAUAAAUACUAGUUUUACCCUUAACUUAACAAUAGUUCUUAUAAGGUGUGAAUGUAUAGUGCAUAUUGUUAAAUAUCUAGUAGUGUACCUAAAUAGUUAUUAUCUUGUUUUGAAGGGGGCGAUAUUAUUACUAUGUAAAUUUCUAUUCUCAACCGCUAGAGGUCACCAUGAGCAGCAGAAAAGGAUUUAAAAUUUUGGAGAAAUCUUAACUAGCAAAACGUGUUGUGAAUAGCUUUUUUUCGCAGGUGUGGUGUUUGGUGACAAACAGAAGAAUGAGCACGAAGUUCUGGUUGUAAAUGCUGAAGCAUCACCUUUUACUUUAUAUAUGAAGCAAAGCCUCUGGUUCAAUCUGCUUCAUCCACCACUAUCGCCAAGGAGCCUCGAAAUUCCUGAGCAAAUGAAACCUUUUCUUCACGGAACAACCCGGAGCAUUCCUUGCCAGGGCAAACAAUGGUCCUUUUCAGGCUGACCGGCUCUGAAAUUUCGCAGACUUGAAGCCCGUAUGAUGUUCAGAUCUCCUUUCCAUGGCUGCGAUGUGUCCAGGAUCCUGGCAUUCGGUCUCUCUCAGGGCGAUUCUCACUUCCAUUUCCCCCCAGCUUUGCAGUUACUCAACGUGCUGCACACGACGCCGUUUGUCGAGCUCCACACAGCAGUGGCCUCGUUCCACCAGUCUCUGCUGCUCUUUGCUCCACCUCAACCUGUCAUUGCUUUAUUGAAGCCAAUAUUAAUAGAGUGAGUCAGGAUUUUCUAGUGGUCAUCAGGUGCUGAUUAAAAGGAAUUUUCCAGAAGCUUCCGGAUUCCAGCUCUUAUUGACUCUAGUUAUGCAACCCUGGUCUCCAGGAAGCCUACAGACUACUAUAUGAUUUUCCCGUUCUGCAGGAGAUGAGGAUCCCACAGGCCUACCUACAUUUCACAGUGAGCCCAUCAUGCAAGCGCUCAUGUCCGCUUUACAGAGCAGUGAUGGGAAAUAAAUUAACCAAAACUGCCUGGAAAGAGUCCGAACUGAGCAAAGCUGAAGGCAGCACGGUUGGGUGGGGGGGGGAAGUAGGGAGGGUAUUCAACAUGGCAGUGAGGCAGUGAGACUUCAGGACACAGGGAGCAUGUGGGCGGUCUGCGGAGAGCCAUGCUGCCCCAGCUCAUGGUGCUCAGGAGGAACCCAGCAGAACAAUGAAUACAUCAAUCUGCAAACCGUUCAGCAGAUUCCAGGUGCAGCUGACUGCUGGAGAGACACUGGCCACUGGCAAACACUGGCCUCCCAGAAUUUAAUCAUCAACAGUGCCAUCAUAUCUGUGGUGAACCUUACAAGGGUCCUGCUCUUUUAUUUCACCAUUGUUUAAUUCUUUUCCAGCAUUAUUAUCAUUUUUACAUGCACCAGUUUGGAGCAUAAUGAUUUAUAAUCUACAGUAACUGCUUUAUCACCA